rnacentral:rRNA from 1 species
CGCUGGCGGCGCGCCUAACACAUGCAAGUCGAACGGAGAUUGAUUGAAAGAUUCUUCGGAUGAUUGAUAUCAAUCUUAGUGGCGAACGGGUGAGUAACGCGUGAGCAAUCUGCCUUAAAGAGGGGGACAACAGUUGGAAACGACUGCUAAUACCGCAUAAGCCCACACUACCGCAUGGUAGAGUGAGAAAAGAUUUUAUCGCUUUAAGAUGAGCUCGCGUCUGAUUAGAUAGUUGGUGAGGUAACGGCUCACCAAGUCGACGAUCAGUAGCCGGACUGAGAGGUUGAACGGCCACAUUGGAACUGAGAUACGGUCCAGACUCCUACGGGAGGCAGCAGUGGGGAAUAUUGGGCAAUGGGCGAAAGCCUGACCCAGCGACGCCGCGUGAGGGAAGAAGGUCUUCGGAUUGUAAACCUCUGUUGAUAGGGAAGAAGAAAGUGACGGUACCUAUCGAGGAAGUCACGGCUAACUACGUG